GAAUGUGAAGGGAUCUAAUUGUAACAUCUGCCCUCCCACUGAUUGCCAGGGCUCAGCCUCCAUUGUGUCUGUCUGCUCAGGCAGGUGUACCUUUCCUCCAUCACUGGUUCCCAAGUGUCCCUCCUGGAGUCCAGGAGCUGUGUGCUCAGAGGAAGAGGACUGGAAGAGGACAUUCUUCAUAAAUAGAAAUGGACCAUUCUUCACUGAGGUCAUCUGAGUAGCUGCAGUCCUUUAAAGAAUCUGCACACAAGCCCUCAAGGGACAAUUAGGUGGAAACGCCAGGGCAGGGCUGUUGGUCUACCGGCUCCUGAAAGCCUUUCUGCCUGGGAAGAGAUGCCUCGGGCACUAUGUCCUAACCA
rnacentral:snRNA from 1 species